rnacentral:lncRNA from 1 species
CAAGCGCCGUCGGGGAGGGGGCGGCCCGCCUAGGCCGAAAGGGAUGACGUGAUGCUCUUCAGGCCGCGCGGGCCGCAGCUUCCCUGGCUGUCGCCGCAGCGCAACUGUCCGCUGCCGGGUCCCCCGCAACCGCCACCUCCCGGACUGCGACUCCCUUGGGGAGGGCUGAGGAGGUGCAGGAAGAGUGGAUGGCUGCAAAGACCAGAGCCGCGCAGAUCCGAAGCCAGGAGCUUCUUCCGAGUCUCCCACGUGGGUGCAGGGGCCAAAGGACUUGGACCAUCUUCUACUGCGUUCCCAGGCCAUAGCAGAGAGCUGGAUCGCAAGUGGAGCAGCCAGGACUCAAACCGGCACCCAUAUGGGAUGCCAGCACUUCGGGCAGAGGCUUCACCCGCUACGCCAGUGUCAGCCCCUCAAGUCCAUUCUUGAGCAGCUUUUCCUGCAAAAAGAAGCUCUCUGCUAUGGCCUGGGAAAGCAGCAGAAGAUGGCCUAAGUCCUUGGACCCCUGUACCGACGUGGGAGACCCAGAAGAAGCUCCUGGCUUCAGAUUGGCCCACCUCCCGCUAUUGCAGCCAUCUGGGGAGUGAACCAGCGGAUGGAAGAAUUCUCUUUCUCUGUAACUCCGCCUUUCAAAUAAAUAAAUAAACAAACUUUUUUUUUUUAAAGGC